GAUGAACGCUGGCGGCGUGCCUAAUACAUGCAAGUCGAGCGAACAGACGAGGAGCUUGCUCCUCUGACGUUAGCGGCGGACGGGUGAGUAACACGUGGAUAACCUACCUAUAAGACUGGGAUAACUUCGGGAAACCGGAGCUAAUACCGGAUAAUAUAUUGAACCGCAUGGUUCAAUAGUGAAAGACGGUUUUGCUGUCACUGAUAGAUGGAUCCGCGCCGCAUUAGCUAGUUGGUAAGGUAACGGCUUACCAAGGCGACGAUGCGUAGCCGACCUGAGAGGACGGCCAGCGACACUGGGAGUGAGACAGGGCGCAGAGUCCGACGGGAGGCAGCAGUGGGGAAUUUUGGACAAUGGGCGCAAGCCUGAGCCAGCAAUGCCGCAUGCAGGAUGAAGUUCUGAGGAUUGUAAACUGCGUUUAUACGGAACGAAAAGCCCGCUUCGAAUACAGGAGGGCCAUGACGGUACCGUAAGAAUAAGCACCGGCUAACGACGUG
rnacentral:rRNA from 1 species